rnacentral:rRNA from 1 species
GACGAACGCUGGCGGUGUGCUUAACACAUGCAAGUCGAACGGUAAGGCCCUUUCGGGGGUACACGAGUGGCGAACGGGUGAGUAACACGUGAGUAACCUGCCCUCAUCUCUGGGAUAACAGUCGGAAACGGUUGCUAAUACUGGAUAUGAGCUUGCAAGGCAUCUUGUGGGUUGGAAAGAUUUUUUUUGGUUGGGGAUGGACUCGCGGCCUAUCAGCUUGUUGGUGAGGUAGUGGCUCACCAAGGCUUCGACGGGUAGCCGGCCUGAGAGGGCGACCGGCCACAUUGGGACUGAGAUACGGACCAAACUCCUACGGGAGGCAGCAGUGGGGAAUAUUGCACAAUGGACGGAAGUCUGAUGCAGCAACGCCGCGUGCGGGAUGACGGCCUUCGGGUUGUAAACCGCUUUCAAUUGUGACGAAGCUUUUUUGUGACGGUAGCAGUAGAAGAAGCACCGGCUAACUACGU